rnacentral:rRNA from 1 species
UGGGGAAUAUUGCACAAUGGGCGCAAGCCUGAUGCAGCCAUGCCGCGUGUAUGAAGAAGGCCUUCGGGUUGUAAAGUACUUUCAGCGGGGAGGAAGUGAGUAAAGUUAAUACCUUUACUCAUUGACGUUACCCGCAGAAGAAGCACCGGCUAACUCCGUGCCAGCAGCCGCGGUAAUACGGAGGGUGCAAGCAUUAAUCGGAAUUACUGGGCGUAAAGCGCACGCAGGCGGUUUGUUAAGUCAGAUGUGAAAUCCCCGGGCUCAACCUGGGAACUGCAUCUGAUACUGGCAAGCUUGAGUCUCGUAGAGGGGGGUAGAAUUCCAGGUGUAGCGGUGAAAUGCGUAGAGAUCUGGAGGAAUACCGGUGGCGAAGGCGGCCCCCUGGACGAAGACUGACGCUCAGGUGCGAAAGCGUGGGGAGCAAACAGG